UCCACUUUAAAUCCAAAUUCCAAUCCCUCCACCGCUCCACCACACACUCACUCUCUCUCUCUCUCUCUCUCUCUCUCUCUCUCUCUAUAAAGAUGUCUUCUUCUUUUGGAUCUCUGAUCUGAUAGAGACUGAGAGACCAAUAGUAGGGUCGUCAAAAACUCACAAUAUAUACAUAUAUGGGUUUGAGAGUCGUUUACGGGCUGCUGUUCCUGUCCUUAUCGUGUGCCUGCAUCAUGCUCAUUCACCUCAUGCUCCACCCAGUAUUCUACUACACCACCUGAGAUACUCUCAGAAGUGACAAGUUGGAGCUGCAGGAACGCAUGGAAACAUUGAUUUGCCAAGGAGAAGAGAAACGAGAAAUGUGCCAGAAUUAUGUGAUCGAAAAGCACCAAUCAUAAAAACUGCAACAUCAUCAUGUGUCUUCUAAAAAGUUAUGUACUGCUUACCAUGUUAAGACGGUUAUAGUAUAUGUAUUAUAAAAUUUCAAAAUGUAUGUACGUCCAUGUAUAAAUGUAUAUACUGUAUAGUAAGUUGGUGUUUUAAGAGAA